rnacentral:lncRNA from 1 species
CACACGGGCAACAUGCUCAGUCCCUCUCUGCAUGUACCUUUNGAUUCUGAGAGUCAGUCCCGCCGGAGGCCUGGGGCCUCGAAUGGGGAGAGGCACAGGCUGUUCCGCAGCGCCCCCCCCCGUGUCUAAAACGUUGCCUCGCCUCCCAUCUCUUCCAGGGCCUCCAUGCUGAAACUGCUCCCUGAGACCUGUUUCACCCUGAGACGUGGAGGCCGAACCGCGAAGCCGACAGAGGCCAGAUCGGUGCCCCUUACCCUGCUCUGUUCGGGGGCAGGCGAAAGCCCUCCGGCGUCGUGAGAGGGGGGCACGGCCGUGUGCUUCUUGGUCCUGCUCCCUGAGGAGGCCUGUAAGGACACCUUCAUGGGAUUUUGCAGCUCCCGCAGAACUAGGGNUGCCACCUGCAAGGCUGCCUGGACAGAACGCAGGUCCACGUAUGGUUCGCCAAGCACGACAGCCUGGGUUGCCACUGCCAGUCCAUCCAAGUACGCAGCUGGAGGAGANUGGACAUGGAGACGUCAGAGCCUUGAACUUGCCAGCCCUGGCUUAGCCGCUGCGCUCCGGUGCCACCCUACGACCAGGCACCCUCUAGGCUGGGCGAUGGGUUCUGCCUCCCACCUCUGCCUCUUCCCANCCUGAAGCACCCUUGAUCCGAGGUCGCCUGUGCUCCCCGCACCCUCUUCGUCCUUCCGGCCUCCACUUUCCUCUGGCUUCCGGCACCUUGCGCAUCGCCAGGCCGAGCCGGGACACGACGUUCCCCCUUUGUGCCACCCUGGCUCUUCCUCUGGCUGGUGAUCCUGCCCAGAGAGCCUCGGGUAACUCCUUUCUGCCGGGCGGCAGGAGCCCAAGGGCGCUUCUUUCGUCCUCCGCAGGAAGCACCCGCAUGGGUUUCCUCUUUGGUGCCGCUUGCCAGGGGCAGCAGCNGUGGCCCCUCCUCCCCCAUGCUGCUUUCUGAAGGGAUCCAGCAUCGGGACGGAGGAGAAGGCAGCUGAGCUGAGGCUCCCCCAGGUGCGAGAUGCAUCUUGCUGUGUUCUUGGCGCUGUGGUGGGAAGGCCAGAGAACGGAGCCCUUCCCGAUGUAGUCCAACGUCGCUCUUGUGGGAAGCCCAGCACACUCAC